GAGAACAGGCUGGCACUGAGCUGGAGUGGCCAUCGUCACAAGGGAAUAAAACAGAGCUCAGAGCUGUGAGCCUGGGGUUCCACCAGCCAGUCACCCUCAGGACAGCCCUCAGGACUGUCCGUGUGGAGCACAUAUUCUGGUGAGGAGAGACCAUGAGAAGCUCAGCAGCAACCAGAAUCAAAAUCUGGAAUUCUGCUGUCAGAGGAGGAGUGUGCAGCAUCUAGGAGGAUGCUUCGGAAGAACCACACAGUUAUAGAAGUUGCUAGGCAUGUAUGUUCAAAAGCAACAGUGUCAGAGUGUCCAGAACAGCAAUUAACACACAUCCUCAGAUUUUUGGAACAUACUUACAUCUCGAAGAUAGCGCUCCAUCCAUUUAAUGAUAUCAAUACCCCGGAUUCUAUCCUCAAAUAUGUCAAUCUACAAGAAAAGGAUGCGCAAAAGAGCUCUUAAUGAGAGCUUUCUCCGAGUGCAGACCUCAAGAAAACACAAGAUCCUACAUACAUGUGCAACCCUAAAAGUAGUGCUCUCAAUAAGGAGGAACACGUGAGACCAAACAGAGAAGCAAAGAGUGUGGAAUGCAUCAGUUAAAAUCUCAAGAAACCCCGAGGCAGAGGAUUAAGAGAUACUGAAGAGAAGAUGAGUCUGUGUGCAUUUAUCUGUGCUUAGCCUGCUCCGAAUGGGAACUCAGCUCUCAAAUGAAGGUGUGUGUGGUAUGUGAUGGUGGAAGUAACCAGCAGCCAGGCAAAUGGCAGAGCGUGGCCCUUUUCCACCUCCAUGUGUAAUAAUUGCAGGACUCCCUUCCCAGACAAGACUGCUCACUCCUGCAGAAAAUGACCUUGUUCUUGAGAGCUGCUGCUAAUUUACAGUGAGGCACUAGGUUUCUACCCAGUGCCACGUGAGCAACCAAUCCAUCUACCCAGGGGCACGGCACUGACGAGCAGCAUCAUUUAGAAGGAAAGAAGUAUGGGUGGUGUUUGUUGUUUCCUGUGUGUUAAGGAAAAUCCAGUGAAAGUGACUGUGACCCUCCAACCUAGACUGUCUACUAGCUUUGACAAUGACCCCUGUCCUGCUAUUGAUGCACCAAGACUCAACACCUAGACCCACGAGAGUAGAUGCUCAGGAAAGAUUUGCUGACUGAACACAUGAUUGUGUCUACGCCUAGCAGUACUUUGUUGCGGGAUGGGCCCUGGCAGGGUUGGUAAAGCCCUCAUUUGUAGACAUGGAACCUCCCAGCUCCAGCCCUGCUAAGAACUGACAGAACUUGGCUAGCUCCAUGUUUUGUUCACGUGACUCUCAACCUGGUGUGGCCUGGACUCUAGUCCCUGCCUCAAGGAAAGUCCAGACUGACAUAGAAAAUCCCUGCUCACCAGCCUUGACCUUGGGAGAAAGCCCCUGACCUGUGAGUGGACAGAAGGCCUGGUGGUCAGCCCGUGGGAGCCCUGGAGCGUGCACUGCUGGAGCAGCUCAGAAAAAGCUGAGAAGCCAAGACUUGACUGUCAGUCCUGGAGAAUUAGAACAUGCCUGCUAAAUUUCAGUCCACUCUGAGGAAGGGGCAGUGCCCACAAGGAAACCUAGUGGGUGGGGUUCUGGCUGGGACUCAUCUGGAGUUCCCAGGGCAGAUGCCCGGCCCCAGCUUAUAGACCAUGAUGCGGCUGGGCUUCCGUGUCUGAUUCUUAAGUGCCUCAGGUAAACAGACUCUCCUUUGCUUUGCCAGGAGGAAUGACAUUACUAUCAGCAUUGUAAAAGUCUGUGGCCUUUGGGAGAGUAAUUUUACUUCUAAGACUCUCCUCUACAGAGAAGUGUGCACACUGUUCCCAGUGGAGUCUAUAAAGAUAGCAAAGAGCAAAGACUUAAAA
rnacentral:lncRNA from 1 species